AUUAAACGCUGGCGGCAUGCCUUACACAUGCAAGUCGAACGGCAGCACGGGGGCAACCUUGGUGGCGAGUGGCGAACGGGUGAGUAAAGCAUCGGAACGUGCCCUGGAGUGGGGGAUAACGUAGCGAAAGUUACGCUAAUACCGCAUAUUCUGUGAGCAGGAAAGCAGGGGAUCGCAAGACCUUGCGCUCUGGGAGCGGCCGAUGUCGGAUUAGCUAGUUGGUGGGGUAAAGGCCUACCAAGGCGACGAUCCGUAGCGGGUCUGAGAGGAUGAUCCGCCACACUGGGACUGAGACACGGCCCAGACUCCUACGGGAGGCAGCAGUGGGGGAAUUUUGGGACAAUGGGCGAAAGCCUGAUCCAGCCAUGCCGCGUGAGUGAAGAAGGCCUCGG
rnacentral:rRNA from 1 species